rnacentral:rRNA from 1 species
ACGGGAGGCAGCAGUGGGGAAUCUUGCGCAAUGGGCGAAAGCCUGACGCAGCGACGCCGCGUGGGGGAAGAAGGCCUUCGGGUUGUAAACCUCUUUCAGGAGGGACGAAGCCACUCGGGUGAAUAGCCCAGAGGGUGACGGUACCUCCAGAAGAAGCCCCGGCUAACUACGUGCCAGCAGCCGCGGUAAUACGUAGGGGGCGAGCGUUGUCCGGAUUUAUUGGGCGUAAAGAGCGUGUAGGCGGCCAGGUAGGUCCGUUGUGAAAACUAGAGGCUCAACCUCUAGACGUCGAUGGAAACCAUCUGGCUAGAGUCCGGAAGAGGAGAGUGGAAUUCCUGGUGUAGCGGUGAAAUGCGCAGAUAUCAGGAAGAACACCCGUGGCGAAGGCGGCUCUCUGGGACGGUACUGACGCUGAGACGCGAAAGCGUGGGGAGCGAACAGGAUUAGAUACCCUGGUA